AGAGUUUGAUCAUGGCUCAGAUUGAACGCUGGCGGCAGGCUUAACACAUGCAAGUCGAACGGUAACAGGGAGAAGCUUGCUUCUUUGCUGACGAGUGGCGGACGGGUGAGUAAUGCUUGGGAAUCUGGCUUAUGGAGGGGGAUAACUACGGGAAACUGUAGCUAAUACCGCGUAAUAUCUUCGGAUUAAAGGGUGGGACUUUCGGGCCACCUGCCAUAAGAUGAGCCCAAGUGGGAUUAGGUAGUUGGUGGGGUAAAGGCCUACCAAGCCGACGAUCUCUAGCUGGUCUGAGAGGAUGACCAGCCACACUGGAACUGAGACACGGUCCAGACUCCUACGGGAGGCAGCAGUGGGGAAUAUUGCACAAUGGGGGGAACCCUGAUGCAGCCAUGCCGCGUGAAUGAAGAAGGCCUUCGGGUUGUAAAGUUCUUUCGGUGAUGAGGAAGGUGUUUGUUUUAAUAGAACAAGCAAUUGACGUUAGUCACAGAAGAAGCACCGGCUAACUCCGUGCCAGCAGCCGCGGUAAUACGGAGGGUGCGAGCGUUAAUCGGAAUGACUGGGCGUAAAGGGCACGCAGGCGGUGACUUAAGUGAGAUGUGAAAGCCCCGAGCUUAACUUGGGAAUUGCAUUUCAUACUGGGUCGAUAGAGUACUUUAGGGAGGGGUAGAAUUCCACGUGUAGCGGUGAAAUGCGUAGAGAUGUGGAGGAAUACCGAAGGCGAAGGCAGCCCCUUGGGAAUGUACUGACGCUCAUGUGCGAAAGCGUGGGGAGCAAACAGGAUUAGAUACCCUGGUAGUCCACGCUGUAAACGCUGUCUGAUUUGGGGAUUGGGCUUAGAGCUUGGUGCCCGUAGCUAACGU
rnacentral:rRNA from 1 species